AUGAACGCUGGCGGCGUGCCUAAUACAUGCCAGUCGAGCGAACGGACGAGAAGCUUGCUUCUCUGAUGUUAGCGGCGGACGGGUGAGUAACACGUGGAUAACCUACCUAUAAGACUGGGAUAACUUCGGGAAACCGGAGCUAAUACCGGAUGAUAUUUUGAACCGCAUGGUUCAAAAGUGAAAGACGGUCUUGCUGUCACUUAUAGAUGGAUCCGCGCUGCAUUAGCUAGUUGGUAAGGUAACGGCUUACCAAGGCAACGAUGCAUAGCCGACCUGAGAGGGUGAUCGGCCACACUGGAACUGAGACACGGUCCAGACUCCUACGGGAGGCAGCAGUAGGGAAUCUUCCGCAAUGGGCGAAAGCCUGACGGAGCAACGCCGCGUGAGUGAUGAAGGUCUUCGGAUCGUAAAACUCUGUUAGUAGGGAAGAACAUAUGUGUAAGUAACUGUGCACAUCUUGACGGUACCUAAUCAGAAAGCCACGGCUAACUACGUG
rnacentral:rRNA from 1 species